rnacentral:tRNA from 1 species
CAGAUAAUAGUUUAUAUAAAAUAUUGACAUUGGAAGUCAAAGAGCAAAUGUUAUUUGUUAUCUGA